rnacentral:rRNA from 1 species
AUGAACGCUGGCGGCGUGCCUCAUCCAUGCAAGUCGAGCGAACAGACGAGGAGCUUGCUCCUCUGACGUUAGCGGCGGACGGGUGAGUAACACGUGGAUAACCUACCUAUAAGACUGGGAUAACUUCGGGAAACCGGGGCUAAUACCGGAUAAUAUAUUGAACCGCAUGGUUCAAUAGUGAAAGACGGUUUUGCUGUCACUUAUAGAUGGAUCCGCGCCGCAUUAGCUAGUUGGUAAGGUAACGGCUUACCAAGGCAACGAUGCGUAGCCGACCUGAGAGGGUGAUCGGCCACACUGGAACUGAGACACGGUCCAGACUCCUACGGGAGGCAGCAGUAGGGAAUCUUCCGCAAUGGGCGAAAGCCUGACGGAGCAACGCCGCGUGAGUGAUGAAGGUCUUCGGAUCGUAAAACUCUGUUAUUAGGGAAGAACAAAUGUGUAAGUAACUAUGCACGUCUUGACGGUACCUAAUCAGAAAGCCACGGCUAACUACGUG